rnacentral:rRNA from 1 species
UACGUAGGAUGCAAGCGUUGUCCGGAAUUAUUGGGCGUAAAGAGCUCGUAGGCGGUUUGUUGCGUCGGCUGUGAAAUCCCGAGGCUCAACCUCGGGUCUGCAGUCGAUACGAGCAAACUAGAGUGUUGCAGGGGAGACUGGAAUUCCUGGUGUAGCGGUGAAAUGCGCAGAUAUCAGGAGGAACACCGGUGGCGAAGGCGGGUCUCUGGGCAACAACUGACGCUGAGGAGCGAAAGCGUGGGGAGCGAACGGG